CCUACGGGUGGCAGCAGUGGGGAAUAUUGGGCAAUGGGCGCAAGCCUGACCCAGCAACGCCGCGUGAAGGAAGAAGGCUUUCGGGUUGGAAACUUCUUUUGUCAGGGAAGAGUAGAAGACGGUACCUGACGAAUAAGCAUCGGCUAACUCCGUGCCAGCAGCCGCGGUAAUACGGAGGAUGCGAGCGUUAUCCGGAUUUAUUGGGUUUAAAGGGUGCGUAGGGGGUUUUUUAAGUUAGUGGUUAAACGUCGGGGCUUCACCUUGAUUUGCCAUUAAUACUGUAAGACUCGAGUUCAGACGAGGUAGGCGGAAUAAGUUAAGUAGCGGUGAAAUGCUUAGAUAUAACUUAGAACUCCGAUAGCGAAGGCAGCUUACCAGACUGCGACUGACGCUGAAGCACGAGAGCGUGGGUAGCGAACAGGAUUAGAUACCCGAGUAGUC
rnacentral:rRNA from 1 species